rnacentral:rRNA from 2 species
ACAACGACUCUCGGCAACGGAUAUCUCGGCUCUCGCAUCGAUGAAGAACGUAGCGAAAUGCGAUACUUGGUGUGAAUUGCAGAAUCCCGUGAACCAUCGAGUCUUUGAACGCAAGUUGCGCCCCAAGCCGUUAGGCCGAGGGCACGUCUGCCUGGGUGUCACGC